rnacentral:rRNA from 1 species
AUGACCAAGCACAAGAGAGAUGGAGGCAUUGGUUUUCGAGACAUGAAAUGCUUUAAUCAAGCUCUACUGUCCCGUCAGUGUUGGAGGCUCAUUCAACAACCAGACAGCCUAUGCACAAGAGUGCUAAAAUCAAAAUACUUUCCCAAUGGCAAGUUCUUGGAUACAGUGUUUGCGGCCGAUGCCUUGCCGUCCUGUAGAAGUAUUGAGUUUGGGCUAGAGCUUCUAAAGGAAGGCUUAAUCUGGCGAGUGGGAGACAGGAAGAGCAUCCAGAUCCAGAGAGAUAAUUGGAUACCCAGGAAGGAAGGAUGUAAAACCGCGGGAUUUAUAGGAUGA